AGAAUCAACGCUGGCGGCGUGCCUAACACAUGCAAGUCGCACGAGAAAGGGUAGCAAUACCUGAGUAAAGUGGCGCACGGGUGAGUAACACGUGAAUUAUCUACCUCCGAGUGGGGAAUAAACUGAGAGAAAUCUUAGCUAAUACCGCAUAACACUUACGAGUCAAAGCAGCAAUGCGCUUGGAGAGGAGUUCGCGGCAGAUUAGUUAGUUGGCGGGGUAAUGGCCCACCAAGACGAUGAUCUGUA
rnacentral:rRNA from 1 species